GACGAACGCUGGCGGCGUGCUUAACACAUGCAAGUCGAACGAAGUGGCGAACGGGUGAGUACCGCGUAAUCAACCUGCCCUUCAGGGGGGGACAACAGUUGAAAACGACUGCUAAUACCGCAUACUGAGGGAGGGGAUUGCGUCUGAUUAGCUGGUUGGAGGGGUAACGGCCCACCAAGGCGAUGAACAGUAGCCGGGCUGAGAGGGUUAACGGCUACAAUGUGACUGGGAAACGGCCCAUACUCCUACGGGAGGCAGCAGGGGGGAAUCUUCCGCAAUGGACGAAAGUCUGACGGAGCAACGCCGGGUGAGUGAUGACGGCCUUCGGGUUGUAAAGCUCUGUUAAUCGGGGCGCGGUACCGGAAUAGAAAGCCACGGCUAACUACGUGCCAGCAGCCGCGGUAAUAC
rnacentral:rRNA from 1 species